UGUGCAUUUUGAGUCGCACCGUUCACGGACGCAUCACUUGCCCGGAUUCGUACCAGGGUCCCAGGACGCCGAGUGCUCGGCCCGGCCGUCCGCCGGUCGCGGUCCGUCGUCGGCCGUCGGUCGUAGAUCGUCGGCCGUCGGUCGCUUCGUCGCACGGCCGCGCCGCCGUCGCCGCCGACUGCCGAGUGCCCCCGAGUGUGCAGACUCCCGACGGCGGACCGCCAGCACGUUGCCCGCACCCCGGUUAAAGGUCGCCCGGGCCCCAACAUGACCCCCGUCGAGGCUCAGGGCUUUUGCGUGCUGCUGCUGAUGAUCAUCUAUUAUUACGUCUCGCUGUGGUCGUUUUUCUCCCGUUACGACGGCACGGUCAUCGACCGCCGAGGCUUUUACAUAUUCUUUUGGUUGUUUUAAACACGACCGCCACGCCGACGCCGCCGACACACCAGCUCAUUGCAGCCAGUGCAACUACCUCCGCCACGGUCGUGCCCGUUAUAAUAAUAUGUCAAUAUAUAUUAUUGUUUGUUGAUUUUCCUCAAUUGCUACAUCGAUACCUAAUAAUUUCAAUAAAGCAACAUACCUAAUGGCAAGUAAUUUAAAGGUACUUAUAUUCCUCUCCUACGUGUAUACUGGCACUAAUAAAAAUGCAGUAACCUUGAAAAAAUUGUUUAUACAAUAAAUCUUCAACCGAAGAACUCAAUGAUUCAGAUUCAAAUACAUACUGCCGUAUUGCCGUUAGCCUAUCGUCAGAUCAGCAGAACCUAAUUCACCGGUAACUACAUCAGCACACCUAUCUUCUUUAUAAAUAAAUUAUUAAUUUGUCAUUAAAUCGUUGUAUAAUAAUAUGAUAACCAAAAGUAUCCGCAAUGAAAUGUUGCAGCACCUAUAUACGUAAUUCCAAAGUAAAUUUAAAUAUUAAUCAUUCCCAAUAUUUAAAUUACCCCAUUUAAAUUAUCUUAAUAUUAUAUGUCAAUUUAUUUCCGUUCAUAGAAAAAAGCAACUAAUUAAUAAAACACAAUAAUAACUAUGUAUGACAAUUGAAUUAUAAUAUGAACAAUACAAUUGUUAUGCAGACCAGAUCAACCGUACAGCUGAAAAUAUAUCUUUGUUCAAUAUAUUUUAUAGGUAUAAAUUUAAAUUGGUUUGUUAGUUCAGAAUAUUCGUAGAAGAAUAAAGAUACUCUAUUAAUCAAAAAUAAAUUGUUGAAAUUAAAAAAAAUUUAUUAGAUGUGUGAAAACCCCCAACAAGAAUUAGGUAUACUGUAUACUAUAUACUUAUGUAUGCAGUAGUAUUAAUACUGCAAAGUUCCAAAUUCCUUCAUUGUGUAAUGUGUAUUAUGAAUAUAUCGAAACUAACAUAUUUUCUUCACUUUGCUAUAAUUUAUAAUAUAUUUGUUUUAUAAAAAGUAUUUUACAGUACCAAUAUUAAUUUUAAAAUUUAAAUUAAAAAAAAAAAACGAUUAAGUUUUAGGUGUUUAAACAAAUUGUUCAAACGCAACAUAAUUUUUUUUUUACUGUUAAACAAUUUUUUCAAUCAUUUUUUUCAUUUUUCAUGUCAUCUAUUUGUGUUGGGAUGUACAUUGUAAAUAUAAAUAAAAUAUCUGAUAUUUUUUCUAUACAAAUUUAUUUGUACCGAAGUGUCUUUUCUGCAGUAUUAAAUAUUUUAUGUUAUGCAUUUUUAAUUAUUUCGUUAAUGUUUUGAAAAUUUUAAAUAUACUUAAUACUUUGUGUUACUGUUGUUUUAUAUAUUUUUUAACUUUAAUAAACGUGUUAUACUAUUGA